UCGUCAGUGAGGUACAUCCUUACCUGUUACUUCAGAAAUGGAGUUGCAGAACAUGAUGAAUGGACUAUAUGACAUGGUGAUUAUUAUGUCUAGAGCAUAAAGGACUGCAACACCCUUAUGCUCCCAUUCUGAU